rnacentral:tRNA from 1 species
GCCCUAGUAGCUUAUCCAAAGUGUCAGGCUUUUGACCUGAUGAAAUAUUUAACUGUAUCUUGGGCU